rnacentral:misc_RNA from 1 species
GAUGAAGAACGUAGCGAAAUGCGAAAAGUAAUGUGAAUUGCAGAAUUCAGUGAAUCAUCGAAUCUUUGAACGCACAUUGCGCCCGCCAGUAUUCUGGCGGGCAUGCCUGUCUGAGCGUCAUUUCAACCCUCAAGCCCCCGGGUUUGGUGUUGGGGAUCGGCUCUGCCCUUCUGGGCGGUGCCGCCCCCGAAAUACAUUGGCGGUCUCGCUGCAGCCUCCAUUGCGUAGUAGCUAACACCUCGCAACUGGAACGCGGCGCGGCCAUGCCGUAAAACCCCAACUUCUGAAUGUUGACCUCGGAUCAGGUAGGAAUACCCGCUGAACUUAAGCAUAUCAAUAAGCGGAGGA